UAGGGAAUCUUCCACAAUGGACGCAAGUCUGAUGGAGCAACGCCGCGUGAGUGAAGAAGGUCUUCGGAUCGUAAAGCUCUGUUGUUGGUGAAGAAGGAUAGAGGCAGUAACUGGUCUUUAUUUGACGGUAAUCAACCAGAAAGUCACGGCUAACUACGUGCCAGCAGCCGCGGUAAUACGUAGGUGGCAAGCGUUGUCCGGAUUUAUUGGGCGUAAAGCGAGCGCAGGCGGAAUGAUAAGUCUGAUGUGAAAGCCCACGGCUCAACCGUGGAACUGCAUCGGAAACUGUCAUUCUUGAGUGCAGAAGAGGAGAGUGGAACUCCAUGUGUAGCGGUGGAAUGCGUAGAUAUAUGGAAGAACACCAGUGGCGAAGGCGGCUCUCUGGUCUGCAACUGGCGCUGAGGCUCGAAAGCAUGGGUAGCGAACAGGAUUAGAUACCCUGGUAGUCCAUGCCGUAAACGAUGAGCGCUAGGUGUUGGGGACUUUCCGGUCCUCAGUGCCGCAGCAAACGCAUUAAGCGCUCCGCCUGGGG
rnacentral:rRNA from 1 species